rnacentral:rRNA from 1 species
GAUGAACGCUGGCGGCGUGCCUAAUACAUGCAAGUCGAGCGAACAGACGAGGAGCUUGCUCCUCUGACGUUAGCGGCGGACGGGUGAGUAACACGUGGAUAACCUACCUAUAAGACUGGGAUAACUUCGGGAAACCGGAGCUAAUACCGGAUAAUAUAUUGAACCGCAUGGUUCAAUAGUGAAAGACGGUUUUGCUGUCACUUAUAGAUGGAUCCGCGCCGCAUUAGCUAGUUGGUAAGGUAACGGCUUACCAAGGCAACGAUGCGUAGCCGACCUGAGAGGGUGAUCGGCCACACUGGGACCGAGACACGGUCCAGACUCCUACGGGAGGCAGCAGUAGGGAAUCUUCCGCAAUGGGCGAAAGCCUGACGGAGCAACGCCGCGUGAGUGAUGAAGGUCUUCGGAUCGUAAAACUCUGUUAUUAGGGAAGAACAAAUGUGUAAGUAACUAUGCACGUCUUGACGGUACCUAAUCAGAAAGCCACGGCUAACUACGUG